GGAAGUAAAAGUCAUAACAAGGUUUCCGUAGGUGAACCUGCGGAAGGAUCAUUAAAGUUAUAGUCCCCUGGCCCUCUGGGCUGGGGUCUUCUAUACCACCCUUUGUUUAUUACACCUUUGUUGCUUUGGCAGGCCUGCCCUCGGGCUGCUGGCUCCGGCCGGCUCGCGUCUGCCAGAGGACCUAAACUCUGUUUGUAUAUGAAGUCUGAGUACUAUAUAAUAGUUAAAACUUUCAACAACGGAUCUCUUGGUUCUG
rnacentral:misc_RNA from 1 species